GGCCCAGGAGUGCACGGGUGCGCCGGUUUCCCGUGCUGCCAGAGCGCAUGACGGAGCCCUCUUGGUCAUGUUCUCUCGCAGCUCUGGAGGUCGGAAUUCCGAACUCAAGGUGUCCCUC
rnacentral:precursor_RNA from 8 species